rnacentral:rRNA from 1 species
CCUACGGGAGGCAGCAGUGAGGAAUAUUGGUCAAUGGACGGAAGUCUGAACCAGCCAUGCCGCGUGCAGGAAGACGGCUCUAUGAGUUGUAAACUGCUUUUGUACAAGGGUAAACCUGAAUACGUGUAUUCAGCUGAAAGUACUGUACGAAUAAGGAUCGGCUAACUCCGUGCCAGCAGCCGCGGUAAUACGGAGGAUCCAAGCGUUAUCCGGAUUUAUUGGGUUUAAAGGGUGCGUAGGCGGAUUGAUAAGUUAGAGGUGAAAGGUUCGAGCUUAACUCGGGAACUGCCUCUAAUACUGUUGAUCUAGAGAGUAGAUGCGGUAGGCGGAAUGUAUGGUGUAGCGGUGAAAUGCUUAGAGAUCAUACAGAACACCGAUUGCGAAGGCAGCUUACCAAUCUAUAUCUGACGUUGAGGCACGAAAGCGUGGGGAGCAAACAGGAUUAGAUACCCCUGUAGUC